rnacentral:rRNA from 1 species
UAGGUAACCUGCCCAUGUGUCCGGGAUAACUGCUGGAAACGGUAGCUAAAACCGGAUAGGUAUACGGAGCGCAUGCUCUGUAUAUUAAAGCGCCCAUCAAGGCGUGAACAUGGAUGGACCUGCGGCGCAUUAGCUAGUUGGUGAGGUAACGGCCCACCAAGGCGAUGAUGCGUAGCCGGCCUGAGAGGGUAAACGGCCACAUUGGGACUGAGACACGGCCCAA